rnacentral:tRNA from 1 species
AUGGAAUUUUCUCUUUAGA